rnacentral:rRNA from 1 species
AGGGUGUAAACGCUGCGGGCUUGGUGUUGGGGGUCCUUUGAGGGCGCCCAGUGCCGGAGAGAAGUUGUUAAGCCUGCUGCUUGGGGAGUACGUCCGCAAGGAUGAAACUUAAAGGAAUUGGCGGGGGAGCACCGCAACGGGAGGAGCGUGCGGUUCAAUUGGAUUCAACGCCGGACAACUCACCAGGAGCGACGGUUACAUGAAGGCCAGGCUGAUGACCUUGCCUGAUUUUCCGAGAGGUGGUGCAUGGCGUCAGUGACU